rnacentral:rRNA from 1 species
GACGAACGCUGGCGGCGUGCCUAAUACAUGCAAGUCGAGCGAAGUUUUUCUGGUGCUUGCACUAGAAAAACUUAGCGGCGAACGGGUGAGUAACACGUAAAGAACCUGCCUCAUAGACUGGGACAACUAUUGGAAACGAUAGCUAAUACCGGAUAACAGUAUUUCUCGCACGAGAGAUAUUUAAAAGUUGGUUAUGCUAACACUAUGAGAUGGCUUUGCGGUGCAUUAGCUAGUUGGUGGGGUAAAGGCCCACCAAGGCGACGCUGCAUAGCCGACCUGAGAGGGUGAUCGGCCACACUGGGACUGAGACACGGCCCAGACUCCUACGGGAGGCAGCAGUAGGGAAUCUUCCGCAAUGGGCGAAAGCCUGACGGAGCAACGCCGCGUGAGUGAAGAAGGAUUUCGGUUCGUAAAGCUCUGUUGUUAGGGAAGAAUGGAUAUGUAGUAACUAUACAUGUAAGAGACGGUACCUAACCAGAAAGCCACGGCUAACUACGUG